GGCUAUGGUCAUGCCACCCUGAACACGCCUGAUCUCAUCUGAUCUCGGACGCUAAGCAGGGUUGGGCCUGGUUAGUACUUGGAUGGGAAACCACCUAGGAAGACCAGGUGCUGUAGGCU
rnacentral:rRNA from 1 species